rnacentral:rRNA from 1 species
CCUACGGGUGGCAGCAGUGAGGAAUAUUGGUCAAUGGGCGCAAGCCUGAACCAGCCAAGUCGCGUGAGGGAUGACGGUCCUAUGGAUUGUAAACCUCUUUUGUCGGGGAGCAAGGUCCGCCACGUGUGGCGGGAAGGAGAGUACCCGAAGAAAAAGCAUCGGCGAACUCCGUGCCAGCAGCCGCGGUAAUACGGAGGGUGCGAGCGUUAUCCGGAUUUAUUGGGUUUAAAGGGAGCGUAGAUGGGUUGUUAAGUCAGUUGUGAAAGUUUGCGGCUCAACCGUAAAAUUGCAAUUGAUACUGGCAGCCUUGAGUACAGUUGAGGUAGGCGGAAUUCGUGGUGUAGCAGUGAAAUGCUUAGAUAUCACGAAGAACUCCGAUUGCGAAGGCAGCUUACUAAACUGCCACUGACAUUGAUGCUCGAAGGUGUGGGUAUCAAACAGGAUUAGAUACCCCAGUAGUC